rnacentral:rRNA from 1 species
GAUGAACGCUAGCUACAGGCUUAACACAUGCAAGUCGCGGGGCAGCAUGGGGGUUGCUUGCAAUCCCCGAUGGCGACCGGCGCACGGGUGAGUAACGCGUAUCCAACCUGCCCUUCACCACGGGAUAACCCGGCGAAAGUCGGACUAAUACCGUAUGUUGUCCAUUGACGGCAUCCGAUUUGGACGAAAGGCUUGGCGGUGAGGGAUGGGGAUGCGUCCGAUUAGCCAGACGGCGGGGUAACGGCCCACCGUGGCUACGAUCGGUAGGGGUUCUGAGAGGAAGGUCCCCCACACUGGAACUGAGACACGGUCCAGACUCCUACGGGAGGCAGCAGUGAGGAAUAUUGGUCAAUGGGCGUAAGCCUGAACCAGCCAAGUAGCGUGCAGGAUGACGGCCCUAUGGGUUGUAAACUGCUUUUAUGCGGGGAUAAAGUGGCCCACGUGUGGGCUUGUGCAGGGACCGCAUGAAUAAGGACCGGCUAAUUCCG